UGGGGAAUAUUGGACAAUGGGGGCAACCCUGAUCCAGCAAUGCCGCGUGUGUGAAGAAGGCCUGCGGGUUGUAAAGCACUUUCAGUAGAGAAGAAAAGCUUAGGGUUAAUACCCCUGAGUCUUGACGUUACCUACAGAAGGAGCACCGGCUAACUCCGUGCCAGCAGCCGCGGUAAUACGGAGGGAGCUAGCGUUGUUCGGAAUUACUGGGCGUAAAGCGCGCGUAGGCGGCUAUCCAAGUCAGGGGUGAAUUCCCGGGGCUCAACCCCGGAACUGCCCUUGAAACUAGGUAGCUAGAAUACUGGAGAGGUGAGUGGAAUUCCGAGUGUAGAGGUGAAAUUCGUAGAUAUUCGGAAGAACACCAGUGGCGAAGGCGACUCACUGGACAGUUAUUGACGCUGAGGUGCGAAAGCGUGGGGAGCAAACAGGAUUAGAUACCCCCGUAGUCC
rnacentral:rRNA from 1 species